rnacentral:lncRNA from 1 species
UUUUUCAGAAGAAUGUGCACAGCAACUUUCAACAACCACAGACAGUUGGCUUUAGGAGGUCAUUUCAUGGCUGGGAGAGAUGGAAGUGGUUUGAAGAUGUGAUUUUUAUGGAUGGAAAACUAUGCCUUUGGUUCUAAGGAAACUCAUUUUUAUUGGAGAAAUGAGACAGAACAGUACAUGAGUACAACUAAAGGAAUCAAACAGGUUUAUGGGGAAACAAAAGAAACAGUGUUGAAAGCCAGUGCAUGA